CAGCAGCCGCGGGAAUACAGAGGAUGCAAGCGUUAUCCGGAAUUAUUGGGCGUAAAGCGCGCGCAGGUGGUUUAAUAAGUCUGAUGUGAAAGCCCCCGGCUCAACCGGGGAGGGUCAUUGGAAACUGGGAAACUUGAGUGCAGAAGAGGAGAGUGGAAUUCCACGUGUAGCGGUGAAAUGCGUAGAGAUGUGGAGGAACACCAGUGGCGAAGGCGACUCUCUGGUCUGUAACUGACGCUGAGGAGCGAAAGCGUGGGGAGCGAACAGGAUUAGAUACCCCCGUAGUCCCUGUCUCUUAUAC
rnacentral:rRNA from 1 species